UGUAAAGAGGCCUUUUUUGUGUAAAAUAAAAUUACCUUUUUUGUUUAUUUAAACUUUUUUUUUGUAAAAUGUAUCGUUCGCGACUUAUAUGCCGCAACGCGUUUUUCGGAAGACGAAAUGGCUCAUCCACACUUCCGGUCAUGAGGAAACCGGCAGAUUUUGUAUUUUUAACGUCUUAUAAUUCGUAUG